UUAACACUCACCAUAUAGAGAACUUUGAUUGACUUAGACAAUGUGUUUACUUAUUUUGCAGUUCUACACCUUCAAACGAAAACGACGUACUAUGGAUGUUUAUCAAUACUGUGAACCCUUCAUUUCGAAUGGCAGUAAUAAUGCGUGACACCAUUCAUCGACAACAGAAAUAGAAAGUACAUCCAACCAGUUCAGAGGAAUAGUUGUUUACAGAUUUUUUUAGCCGAGAUAACCUUUUCGCUAUAUAUAUACUAUGUACAUAAUGGAACAAAAGACCAUGCCAUGUGGCGAUCAUCUCUUUUGACAAACCGUUAGAAUUGAAACAAUUUUUGAAGAGAGUCGCCUAAUGGAAUGAACAUUUAGAGUCCGAUAUGUGUGACUAACAGAGCACAAACAGGUGGAGAAGGGACGUACAGUUUACGGAGAAUGUUUUUUAAAAAACACGUGUGUAAUAUAUCUAUAUUAAAAAGUCUCAUGGAACAAAUUCUUAUCCUGUUUCAGUCAUCACAGCUUGAUUUACUUUAUGGUAAUUUUUACUUUGUUUUUGCCAAAGUGUCAAAUAACAAGAGUCAUGUCGAACCAAAAACAAAAUGUAAAACGAAAAAUAGUAGCCCGUACCAAUGGUCAGGUUUGUCAUGUGUAACUGCCCUUACUGUGAAAAGAGCCUGUUAAGGCCUAUGCUAUUUUGUCAUAAUUAUGUAAAAUUCCUAUGUAAAACUGAAAUUGUCAUAACAAGACGAGAAAUGCACGGGGAUCAAAGAGAAACUAAUAAUAAUGAGAAAAUGUAUCUCCAAGUAAAUUAUAAAGUAUCAAAAACACUCAAAAGCAUGUCCCAACAGUGUACUAGAAGAAAAUGCAUAGAAAUUUUCGGUGCAAGUAUUUGGUACCGUAAGUCUCUCAUAUUUAUACAAUAUAUAUAUUAAUAAAUCCAGGAUAUGUCAGUGUAAAUGAGCUGAGCGUUAGUUUUCUAAGAAAUCGUCGUAAAACUGUAUUACACAAAUCACACGUGCACCGCUUUUUUACAAAAAUAUGUCCGCCAUGUUUUCUUCAGUGAACGAAAUAAAAGUAGUGUUUUACCUUGGAUUUCCUUAUUGUAUAGUACGAUUCACUUUCUAAUCUAAAUAAAGCAUCACUUUUUUUUAUAACAUCCCACCGUCCGAUCUUUCUGAUCACUUAACGAUCACUCACAAUUAUUAAAUAAAUCCAACGUGUCAUCAAAAUUAUCACUUUACACGGCUUCAUGGACAUCACGGCCUACUAACAUUAAAUUUGUAAUCAUGAGCCAACCAAACAAAUGAUGAAAGAUCGGGACUUUUUUAAAGAUAUGUUAUAUUUUCUGCAAUUUUCUGAUAUUCUAACCUUUAAACAAUCGAAUAGUAUGCACAGAAAUAACGAGGAAUUUAUGCAAUAUACCUUUUAGUUUAAAUUUUGGACCUAUCUUUUUCCAGCCCAACAACAGACACGUAUAUGUCACAAACCCGGCUUGUCCUCGAGUAAAAUGUCAGAGGUUACUAGAACAUAAAUACAAUAAAUAAACAAUCGCUUACAAUGUUUUUGUAAGUCAUGUAAGCGCUUACAAUGUUUUUGUAAGUCCUGUAAGAUGAAACGGCUUAUGUUUAUACAUUAGUAGUAUAAGAAAUACCGCUUCUGGAACAAUUUGACCCCACUUGACCCCUUGCCCCUCUUUUAAAAAAUCCAAUGCCGGACAAUUCAAAAAACCGCCUUUGUUUUUUAUUGAACGUAAGUGGACUAAAGCGUCCCCAGAAGUUUUUAGAUUAAAAUAAAGUACUGAAAAAUAUAUAUUUAACUUUAAAAAAUAUAUAUUUAACUUUAAAAAAUAUCUUAAAACCGAUAUUAACUUUAAACACUAUCAUUAAUUCUCUCUGGUGAGAAACCAAUAACCGUCCGCGUCAUUUUUGCCAGCGUGGCAAUUCUCCCUGGCGGUUAUUGAUUUCUCACUAGAGAGAAUUAAUGUUCCUGAUUUUAGUUACUAUAUAAGUUAAGCCGUGUCGAGUUUUAUCCCUUUGAUCAAAUAAAAAGUUUUACCGAAUUAAUCAUAUGUAGGAUUGUUUUACAAUUUCUGCAGGAUAUUAAUGUUAGUUAAUGAAACAUGAAAUAGGAAGUGAUUGUUUAUUCAUUAUGUUUUACAUUGUUUACUCUCAGUGUUUUAUACAAUAAAGCAUAAAUAUUUAUACCAUCUUGUAACAUUUUAAUGAAAAAUAAACAAUAAUAUCCACAGAG